UACGAGGGGGGCGAGCGUUGUUCGGAAUUAUUGGGCGUAAAGGGUGCGUAGGCGGCCUGACAAGUCUGAUGUGAAAUCCCUGGGCUCAACCCAGGGCCUGCAUCGGAAACUGUCGGGCUUGAGUAUGGGAGAGGUGAGUGGAAUUUCCGGUGUAGCGGUGAAAUGCGUAGAUAUCGGAAGGAACACCUGUGGCGAAAGCGGCUCACUGGACCGUUACUGACGCUGAGGCACGAAAGCUAGGGGAGCAAACAGG
rnacentral:rRNA from 1 species